rnacentral:rRNA from 1 species
UCCGUAGGGGGCAAGCGUUGUCCGGAAUCAUUGGGCGUAAAGAGCGUGUAGGUGGCUCGGUAAGUCCGCUGUGAAAGUCCAGGGCUCAACCCUGGAAAGCCGGUGGAAACUGUCGAGCUCGAGUCCGGAAGAGGCGAGUGGAAUUCCUGGUGUAGCGGUGAAAUGCGCAGAUAUCAGGAGGAACACCAAUGGCGAAGGCAGCUCGCUGGGACGGUACUGACACUGAGACGCGAAAGCGUGGGGAGCAAACAGG